UGCUCGGUAAAAUCUGAUCUCUACCUCCUUGUGGUCCUACCAGGACCUUUUACCUACUAAGAAUAGGCCAACAGAGACGG
rnacentral:ribozyme from 1 species